rnacentral:rRNA from 1 species
GACGAACGCUGGCGGCGUGCCUAACACAUGCAAGUCGAACGGAAGGGCCCUGCGCUUGUGGCGUGCUCGAGUGGCGUACGGGGGAGUAACACGUGAGUAACCUGCCCUUGACUUUGGGGUAACUUCAGGAAACUCCGGCUAAUACCCGGUAUAAGCUCCUGCUGCAUGGUGGGGGUUGGAAAGUUUCGGCGGUUGGGGCUGGACUCGCGGCUUAUCCGCUUGUUGGGGGGGUAGUGGCUUCCCAGGGCUUUGACGGGUAGCCGGCCUGAGAGGGUGACCGGCCACAUGGGGCCUGAGAUAGGGACCAGACUCGUACGGGCGGCAGUAGGGGGGAAUAUUGCACAGUGGGCGGAAGCCUGAUGCAGAAACGCCGCGUGCGGGAUGACGGCUUUCGGGUUGUGAACAGCUUUCGCAGGUGACGAAGCGUGAGUGACGGUAAUGGAUAAAGAAGCACCGGCUAACUACGUG